GAUGAACGCUGUCGGCGUGCCUAAUACAUGCAAGUCGAGCGAACAGACGAGGAGCUUGCUCCUCUGACGUUAGCGGCGGACGGGUGAGUAACACGUGGAUAACCUACCUAUAAGACUGGGAUAACUUCGGGAAACCGGAGCUAGUACCGGAUAAUAUAUUGAACCGCAUGGUUCAAUAGUGAAAGACGGUUUUGCUGUCACUUAUAGAUGGAUCCGCGCCGCAUUAGCUAGUUGGUAAGGUAACGGCUUACCAAGGCAACGAUGCGUAGCCGACCUGAGAGGGUGAUCGGCCACACUGGAACUGAGACACGGUCCAGACUCCUACGGGAGGCAGCAGUAGGGAAUCUUCCGCAAUGGGCGAAAGCCUGACGGAGCAACGCCGCGUGAGUGAUGAAGGUCUUCGGAUCGUAAAACUCUGUUAUUAGGGAAGAACAAAUGUGUAAGUAACUAUGCACGUCUUGACGGUACCUAAUCAGAAAGCCACGGCUAACUACGUG
rnacentral:rRNA from 1 species